AGCAAAGAUGGAAGCUGCUUCAGUUUCAGUGGCCUCUGCUCUUGCUCGCCCUUGUCUUGCUGCUCUAAGAUCCUCGCCCAUGAAAAUCCCUUCCUCUCUCCAUAGGCGCCUCCAAUUCUCCACCCCCUUUUCAUGGCGACAGACCAUAGGGGCCAGACUGUUUUUUAGGAAUCAGAGGCCUCUCUCCAUUUCGCCUGCGCAUUCUCGAGCUCUUCAUUCACUAAUGGUGGCUAAGAACUCAAUGAAUGGGGUCUCAAGUGGGGUUAUCAAAGCUCGACCUUCCUAUGAGCUCAGAAAGAAGCAUUCUGAUUCUUUGGUUCCCGAUAAGAAGUUGAGUGCACUGAGAGAGCAAUUUUGUAAACCAGGAGUGGGUGUCGAUGCUUACAUCGUUCCUUCUCAAGACCCACAUCAGAGCGAGUUUAUUGCUGAGUGUUUUAUGCGGCGAGCUUAUAUAUCAGGAUUCACUGGUAGUGCUGGAACUGCUGUUGUCACAAAGGAGAAAGCUGCUUUGUGGACUGAUGGCCGUUAUUUUCUUCAGGCAGAGAAACAGUUAAGCUCUGAUUGGAUUCUUAUGCGAGCUGGUACUCCUGGGGUUCCAUCUUAUGGUGAAUGGCUUAAUGAUGUGCUGAAGCCUGGCAGCAAGAUUGGAAUUGACCCAUUUCUUUUUUCUUCUGAUGCUGCAGAGGAAUUGAAAGAGACCUUAUCUAAAAAGAGCAAUGAAUUAGUAUAUUUAUCUAAUUUCAAUCUUGUGGAUGAGAUUUGGAAAGAAUCAAGGCCAAAGCCUCCCAUGAACCCAACUAGAGUGCAUGAUAUCAAAUAUGCUGGUGUGGAUGCAUCCUCAAAACUGUCUUCUUUAAGAUCUGAGCUGGUUGAAGCUGGUGCAAAUGUAAUUGUUAUUUCUAUGCUCGAUGAGAUUGCAUGGCUAUUGAACUUGAGAGGAGAUGAUGUACCUCAUUCUCCUGUGGCCUAUGCAUACUUGAUUGUGGAAGUCGAUGGUGCAAAACUAUUCAUGGAAAAAUCGAAAGUCCCAAAUGAAGUGAUGUUCCAUUUGAAGAAAUCAGGAGUGACGUUGCAACCGUAUGAUGCCCUAAUUUCUGAGAUAGAAAGGUUGGCAGAGCAAGACGCCAAGCUUUGGUUGGAUACAUCUUCUAUUAAUGCUGCAGUUGUCAAUGCUUUUAGUGCUGCUUGCAAUAGAUACUAUGAAAGUUUUGGGAAGAAAAACAAAAGAAGGGUUGCCAGAGAAAUAUCUGUAGGACUGCAGACUAAAGAAGGAUCUACUUCUCAUAUAGAUGGACCAUCUGUAAUAUACAGAGCAUCUCCUGUAACCUUUGCAAAAUCAAUAAAAAAUCAUGCAGAGCUUGAGGGAAUGAGACAAUCACAUUUGAGGGAUGCAGCUGCCCUGGUUGAGUUUUGGGCAUGGCUAGAAGACAGCAUAUCUAAAAAAGAGAGACUUACAGAGGUUGAAAUUGCGGAUAGAUUGCUCGCGUUUCGUGCAAAGCAGGAUGGUUUUCUCGAUUCCAGUUUUGAUACGAUCAGUGGUUAUGGUGCAAAUGGUGCCAUUAUUCAUUAUAAACCUGAACCAGAGAGCUGCAGUGUCGUGGAUGACAAGCAACUUUUUCUACUUGAUAGUGGCGGUCAAUAUGUUGACGGAACAACUGAUGUGACAAGGACUGUGCAUUUUGGGGAACCUACUUUGCAACAGAAAGACUGCUUCACCAGAGUAUUACAGGGCCAUAUAGCACUUGAUCAAGCAAUAUUCCCGGAUAAUACUCCUGGUUUUGUUCUUGAUGUAUUUGCUCGCUCCUUCCUUUGGAAGAUUGGACUUGAUUAUCGACAUGGUACUGGCCAUGGUGUGGGAGCUGCACUAAAUGUUCAUGAAGGACCUCAAAGUAUAAGCUACCGAUAUGGGAACUUGACUGGAUUGCAGAAGGGCAUGAUUGUUAGCAAUGAACCUGGAUACUAUGAAGACCACUCUUUUGGUAUUCGGAUCGAGAAUCUGCUUUGUGUCAGGGAGGUGGACACACCUAACUGUUUUGGAGGUAUGGGGUAUCUUGGAUUUGAGAGGCUCACUUACGUUCCCAUCCAGGCCAAGUUAAUUGACAUUUCUUCAUUAUCAAUUUUGGAGAUCAACUGGUUGAACGACUACCACUCACAAGUGUGGGAGAAGGUUUCCCCCCUGGUGAAUGGAGCCGCACGUCAGUGGCUUUGGGAUAAUACACAGCCUAUUCCUAAACAGUGAUGGACCUCCAUGCACUCCUCAGCAAGUGACAAUCUCAGCAACGCAAGAUAAGCGAUGAAGAUAACGACUAGUGGAAUUGGGUGGAUGGUGAUUCAUCUGUGUGGCAACCACAAUUGGAGAAUCCCAUCAGACACAGAUAUAUAGGUAAUGCAUUUGUAUGUGUAUGGCACUAUAUACAUGCAUAUAUAUGUACUUGUGUGUGCGCGCACGGGUGUGUAUCACAUUAUAGGAAAAUUUUGGUGGGAGUGGACAUGAACCUAGGCCUUCAUAAAAACCCAAAAUAAGAAACAGAGGCCUAGUGGACCUUCCUACUGACUUUUAUCUUGCUGCUUUAUGAAGCAACACAUUUAAAAUUCAUUUCAUGAGUUAUCAUAAGAUUCCUAAUGGAUAUGGUGCUGGGGCCAGUCUCAAGAGUUCUGGAUGCAUGCCGACGAUAAAGCAAAACUGUUGCUUCUAAAUUAGAAAGAUUUUUAGCAUUAUGGAGCUCCAACUAACAUUUGUCCAAAAGCUUGCCAUAC